rnacentral:rRNA from 1 species
GAUGAACGCUGGCGGCGUGCCUAAUACAUGCAAGUCGAGCGAACAGACGAGGAGCUUGCUCCUCUGACGUUAGCGGCGGACGGGUGAGUAACACGUGGAUAACCUACCUAUAAGACUGGGAUAACUUCGGGAAACCGGAGCUAAUACCGGAUAAUAUAUUUAACCGCAUGGUUCAAUAGUGAAAGACGGUUUUGCUGUCACUUAUAGAUGGAUCCGCGCUGCAUUAGCUAGUUGGUAAGGUAACGGCUUACCAAGGCAACGAUGCGUAGCCGACCUGAGAGGGUGAUCGGCAACAAUGGAACUGAGAAACGGGCCAGACUCCUACGGGAGGCAGCAGUAGGGAAUCUUCCGCAAUGGGCGAAAGCGUGACGGAGCAACGCCGCGUGAGUGAUGAAGGUCUUCGGAUCGUAAAACUCUGUUAUUAGGGAAGAACAAAUGUGUAAGUAACUAUGCACGUCUUGACGGUACCUAAUCAGAAAGCCACGGCUAACUACGUG